rnacentral:rRNA from 1 species
UACGUAGGGAGCAAGCGUUGUCCGGAUUUAUUGGGCGUAAAGAGCUCGUAGGCGGCUUAGCAAGUCGGGUGUGAAACCUCCAGGCUCAACCUGGAGACGCCACUCGAUACUGCUAUGGCUUGAGUUCGGUAGGGGUAAGCGGAAUUCCUGGUGUAGCGGUGAAAUGCGCAGAUAUCAGGAGGAACACCGGUGGCGAAGGCGGGUCUCUGGGCCGAUACUGACGCUGAGGAGCGAAAGCGUGGGGAGCGAACAGG